UGGGCUGCCCUAGGCUGGAGGGGCAGUCAGAAGCAGGAGACCUUGGGUCCUGUGGGUGUUGAAAUGUCAUGAGACAUCAGUGAGGGGUAUAGAUGCUACAAGAAAAAUGACAAAGCUGGUGGCCCAAACAUAAAGGGCACAGGCUGGCUCAGUCUGCUGAUUCAUCAGUGACUCAGCAUCUGUAAGCUGGCUGCACAGCCCAAUUGUAUUUUGGAAAAGGGCAGUAAGAUAAAUUUCCAAAAAGCCUCUGUGUUCUCCUCUGCCAUCAACGACAGAAAGAACAAUCACCAGCAAUAACAGUUACACAGAGGCCAAACUUUCAUAUUAAUUAAAAGUCGUGUAAGAUAUAGCUUGGCCAAUUUGUCAAUCACCGGGGGCUAUAAUUGGCCCCAGUAAGAGACAGCUUCAAGCCAAAGACAAUGUGGCGCCUCACUAGCAGAUCAAAGUUCACAUUCUGGUUCUGCCAUGCGCAACAUAUGCAAUAUGGGAGGUCACAUUAUCUUUUUACUACACCUUGAGAAAGCUAGCUCUGUAUCAAAUGCAGGAACGCAUGCUGGUUUUCAGGACAUAGUGGAUGUUCAAGAAAGGACAAGAGCAACCUUCAUAAGAAUAACAACAUGUUCUUGCUGUGGACUUCUUUCUACUGUGAUUGCUGAAAUCAAGGUGUUAGAUGUAAGCCUCCUUCCUGUUCUGGAAAGUGACUAAUUCUGUGAAGAAUGCCCAGGAAGGAAGAAAAGAUUCUUUGGGGAUAUUACAACAAAUCCAUGGUAUUUCGAUGCUAACACCCUUGAGACAACCGAGAGACAAAGGCAGAACAAAUGCAUGGCCUAGCAUGACCUGUUCCAGCAAAGGAGAGGGAACUGUGGAGGAAGUCUGAGAGAACUAACUGAAAAUCUACCUGCCUGUGGGUGGCUGCAGCCUCAAGGCUGAGAGCAUCUCCUUACCACAGCAGCAGCAGUUAAGCAGCAGCAGUAGACUGGCCAGCUGUGCGGCUUCCCAGGAUGGGCAAGCAAGAAAUCAUCCUGGUAACGGAACUUCUCUGGUCCACAUGCAAUAAAAAUGUCAUCGUCACCAAAAAAGUCCUGAAGGCAC